GAUGAACGCUGGCGGCGUGCUUAACACAUGCAAGUCGAACGAGAAGUGAAGACGGAAACCUUCGGGCGGAAGGCUUUAUUUCGAGUGGCGGACGGGUGAGUAACGCGUGGGUAACCUGCCUCAUACAGGGGGAUAACAGUUGGAAACGACUGUUAAUACCGCAUAAGACCACAGCACCGCAUGGUGCGGGGGUAAAAACUCCGGUGGUAUGAGAUGGACCCGCGUUCGAUUAGCCAGUUGGCGGGGUAACGGCCCACCAAAGCGACGAUCGAUAGCCGAUCUGAGAGGAUGACCGGCCACAUUGGGACUGAGACACGGCCCAAACUCCUACGGGAGGCAGCAGUGGGGAAUAUUGCACAAUGGGGGAAACCCUGAUGCAGCGACGCCGCGUGAGUGAAGAAGUAUUUCGGUAUGUAAAGCUCUAUCAGCAGGGAAGAAAAUGGCGGUACCUGAGUAAGAAGCCCCGGCUAACUACGUG
rnacentral:rRNA from 1 species